AAUCUAUCCUGUGUGGAAUGGAUGGGAUGAGAGAUGGAUGGGCCCAGCCUUAGAAGCAAGAUCUAGACCUAUAAGUAUAGUCAACAGAAUGGAGAGGGAAGAACCCAGACUUCAGGAACCCAAUGUAGAGUCCUGCAUGACCCCUUGUUCACUAUCAAACUGACUUCCACAUACAGGAGCACGAAAGGCACAGGAAUGGAUGCCAAUAGACUCAUUAGC
rnacentral:lncRNA from 1 species